UCCUACGGGUGGCUGCAGUGGGGAAUAUUGGACAAUGGGCGAAAGCCUGAUCCAGCAAUGCCGCGUGAGUGAUGAAGGCCUUAGGGUUGUAAAGCUCUUUUACCCGGGAUGAUAAUGACAGUACCGGGAGAAUAAGCUCCGGCUAACUCCGUGCCAGCAGCCGCGGUAAUACGGAGGGAGCUAGCGUUGUUCGGAAUUACUGGGCGUAAAGCGCACGUAGGCGGCUGUGUAAGUUAGAGGUGAAAGCCUGGGGCUUAACUCCAGGAUUGCCUUUAAGACUGCAUCGCUUGAAUCCGGGAGAGGUGAGUGGAAUUCCGGGUGUAGAGGUGAAAUUCGUAGAUAUUCGGAAGAACACCAGUGGCGAAGGCGGCUCACUGGACCGGUAUUGACGCUGAGGUGCGAAAGCGUGGGGAGCAAACAGGAUUAGAUACCCUAGUAGUC
rnacentral:rRNA from 1 species